rnacentral:lncRNA from 1 species
UGUGUCUACAGCUGAAACAUCAUGAACUUGAAAAGUUAAAAAAAAAAUUCCCUCUCCUCUCUCUCUUUUCCUUCUUCAUUUCCUAGUCUACCCUUUCUGAACUUCAGAGUGGAGCAAGUCAAGCUGCCAAGCCAAACCUAGCAAUGGACAAUGACCUAGAAAUGUCCUUUUUUUUUUUUUUUUUUUUUUUUUGUCAGCUCUUUCCUGUAGCCCUUUGGGUUUAACCAGAUCCACAAUCAAAUGUUCACAUUUAAGCUGAUCACCAUGGAACAUUCCAGACAGAAUUCCAGGUGUCUCAGUAGUGCCUGUAUAACUUGUCAAUUGUAGACCAAAACCAUCUUCAUACUGGGGCAUCAUGUCAAAGCAACCUUCAUGGGAUACGCAGGUAAGCUGAUCAUUAAUGAGACACCAAGGAGGGACGGGAAGUCUGAGGGUUAACAUCAUCUCUCAGUGGCUCUUCAAGUUAUGCUCCAUAUUUCUGCAGAGGUCAAUAGCAUUUGGGCCAAUGCUUUCCUUUAAGAGGUCCAGCCUUGAGAAUUCACCUCUUGUUCAUGAUUCAGUUGAUGAGAUGGAGAGGAGGUCAAAGGUCAAAAGCUUUGCCCAGUGCAGCUAGAUUUGCCCUUCCGUUUGCUUUGUACCUGCCUUGAAUAUGCUCGCUGCUGCUUCCUCCUUGGCUGUCUAUUUUGUUUUAUUGAUGACUCUGAGUUGGCUAUAACAUUGAUCAGAGGUUUAACUGCCUAAGGAAAAAAGAAGGGGAUUUAGCUGUGGAGCACUGGAGAAGAAGAAAUACCUUGGGAUGCUUCAAGUUGUAGGUUCUGAGUCUGUGUCUUGGUUUUAAGAACACGCCCCAGGUAAUUCCACCAUUUGGUUGCUCCCACCAAGAUUCUAAAUUAAUUAAUCUAGAUCACAGCUUAGUCACUGGGACAUUUAAAAGCUCUUUGCAUAACUCUAACAUUCCCCAGUUUGAGAACAUCACCCUAAGUAAAGGAGAAUUGACAUGAUGUUCAUAAAAUUGAGAUGUCUGCUAUAGACUUCAGAGAGAUAGUUCAGAGGAGGCAAUCCAUGAAGUGAUUCCCCCAACCCUGCAACACUCCCAGUGAUGAAUAUUUUCAUAGGACAGCAUGAUGUUAAUAUUGAUUGGCCACUUGAUCGCAUCUACAAUCAAAUAGGGGAUAAACCUCUUGACGUGUGUGAGAGUAAAUUCUAGAUUAGAUUAGCUGGGAUCAGAAAAACCAUCCAAGAUCAGGUAGUACCAUUUCCUGGGAUGAUGUCAUGAGUGAAUUAAAGAUGAGAAAUCAAGUUGAACACUACUAUUUCUCCCUCUCUGCUUUGUGACUGCAGAUACAAUGUAAGAAGCUGUCUCACACUCCUACCACUGUGUCUUCCCACCAUGAUGGACUUCAUCUGCAAGCCAAACAACCCCUUUCUUUUUUGAGCCUCUUUUGUUGGUUAUUUUGUCACAGUAGGACAAGAGCUAAUAUAGACACCAUUGCUUCACAUCAGCUCCCUUGAGUCUAUUCCAAAAGCCACUUUUGAAAGACAACUUCUGUAACAUGACUAACUUGCAGAAACUCUGUCCCUCUCCAUCCACUGUGCCUGGCUUGAGUGGAAAAGCUAUAGGUUCUGCUGUGACAUGAAGACUGAUAACAUUGUCCAAAUGCGGGCUCAAAUCUUUGCAAACUGUGUCCUCCUGCCUCACCCUGAAAGCGUGUUUAUUUGUAUCCUCGCUGUUAUCUCAUCUGAGUGAGAAAGUAGUGCUAUCAAUCAGGGUGGGAAACUUUACCUCCUGUACACACUGUCCCCAGUGAACUGUGAGUGGCAUAAGGACCGCAAGCUGACUAAUGAGAGCUGCUGAUCAGGGCCUCUCCCACACACACCCGAUCCAGUCCCUCAACAGAACGACAGCCAGCUCAGCUCCAGGUGUCAGUCAAUUAUUACUGGUCAGAAGCGUUCCAGACUGGAAAGUGGGGUCAGGCCAGGGUAGCACGAUCCCAAAAAGGAGGGUUCAGUCAGUUAGUGAGGUCACAUUAGAGUUGGAAGUCAUCUGUUGGAUAGGCACAGCUUAAAGACUAAGAAUCAAACUAUACAGUGUCAACAAGACAGAAAAUGAACCCAGAGAGUCAGGCGAACUCUGUGUAUUUCACCUAACUUCGAAUGUCUCAAAUUAAAAUUUUUGAUAGAUUCCCAAGCAAUUGAAUAUUUGGAGAAAAUAUUUGGAGAAAAUAAACAGAAACAACAUUAGUUCAUUGAUCUAGAACAAACUCCUGAGAGUUGCUUCUCUUUAUACCUUCCACGCAUGCUCUGCAGAAUUUAACACACCUUUCUUGCAGUGUGUGAAAUAUACUUACCAUUUGCUCUCCAUACACACCACUCCUUGUCUACACUGCUUUAUGUAUCCCCAGCUACACAGAUUGCAUCAGGCAUCUCAUGGUUACUAAUGUCUGCUUGAAUUUAACCACUGGGGUGCACAAAAAGAUGAGAGGCAAACAUGCUGUUGUAGGUGCCUGGGUUUCUUCAAUAAAAGAGAGGACUGU